UACAGAGGGUGCGAGCGUUGUUCGGAAUUACUGGGCGUAAAGCGCGCGCAGGCGGCUUCUUAAGUCCAUCGGUGAAAUGCCGGGGCUCAACCCCGAGUGUGCCGAGGAUACUGGGAGGCUGGAGACGAGAGAGGGGGGUGGAAUUCCGGGUGUAGUGGUGAAAUGCGUAGAGAUCCGGAGGAACCCCAGAGGCGAAGGCGGCCCCCUGGCUCGUACCUGACGCUCAGCCACGAAAGCAUGGGGAGCGAACGGG
rnacentral:rRNA from 1 species